AUUGAACGCUGGCGGCAUGCCUUACACAUGCAAGUCGAACGGCAGCACGGGAGCAAUCCUGGUGGCGAGUGGCGAACGGGUGAGUAAUAUAUCGGAACGUGCCCAGUCGUGGGGGAUAACGCAGCGAAAGCUGUGCUAAUACCGCAUACGAUCUAUGGAUGAAAGCGGGGGAUCGCAAGACCUCGCGCGAUUGGAGCGGCCGAUAUCAGAUUAGCUAGUUGGUGAGGUAAAGGCUCACCAAGGCGACGAUCUGUAGCUGGUCUGAGAGGACGACCAGCCACACUGGAACUGAGACACGGUCCAGACUCCUACGGGAGGCAGCAGUGGGGAAUUUUGGACAAUGGGCGCAAGCCUGAUCCAGCAAUGCCGCGUGCAGGAUGAAGGCCUUCGGGUUGUAAACUGCUUUUGUACGGAACGAAACGGUGAGCUCUAAUACAGUUUGCUAAUGACGGUACCGUAAGAAUAAGCACCGGCUAACUACGUGCCAGCCGCCGCCGUAAAAC
rnacentral:rRNA from 1 species